rnacentral:tRNA from 1 species
CGGGAAUUAGCUCAGCUUGGUAGAGCACUUGGUUUGGGACCAAGGGGGCGUAGGUUCGAAUCCUGUCUUCCCGA